AGUGAACGCUGGCGGUAGGCCUAACACAUGCAAGUCGAACGGCAGCACAGUAAGAGCUUGCUCUUACGGGUGGCGAGUGGCGGACGGGUGAGGAAUACAUCGGAAUCUACUUUUUCGUGGGGGAUAACGUAGGGAAACUUACGCUAAUACCGCAUACGACCUACGGGUGAAAGCAGGGGAUCUUCGGACCUUGCGCGAUUGAAUGAGCCGAUGUCGGAUUAGCUAGUUGGCGGGGUAAAGGCCCACCAAGGCAACGAUCCGUAGCUGAUCUGAGAGGAUGAGCGGCCACACUGGAGAUGAGACACGGUCCAGACUCCUACGGGAGGCAGCAGUGGGGAAUAGUGCGGAAUGGGGGAAAGCCUGAAGGAGCAACGCCGCGUGAGUGAUGAAGGUCUUCGGAUCGUAAAACUCUGUUAUUAGGGAAGAACAUAUGUGUAAGUAACUGUGCACAUCGUGACGGUACCUAAUCAGAAAGCCACGGCUAACUACGUG
rnacentral:rRNA from 1 species